rnacentral:rRNA from 1 species
GAUGAACGCUGGCGGCGUGCCUAAUACAUGCAAGUCGAGCGAACAGACGAGGAGCUUGCUCCUCUGACGUUAGCGGCGGACGGGUGAGUAACACGUGGAUAACCUACCUAUCAGACUGGGAUAACUUCGGGAAACCGGAGCUAAUCCCGGAUAAUAUCUUGAACCGCAUGGUUCAAUAGUGAAAGACGGUUUUGCUGUCACUUAUAGAUGGAUCCGCGCCGCAUUAGCUAGUUGGUAAGGUAACGGCUUACCAAGGCGACGAUGCGUAGCCGACCUGAGAGGCUGAUCGGCCACACGGGAACUGAGACACGCUCCAGAGUCCUACGGGAGGCAGCAGUAUGGAAUCGUCCGCAAUAGGCGAAAGCCUUACGGAGCAACGCCGCGUGAGUUAUGAAGGUCUUCGGUUCGUAAAACUCUGUUAUUAGGGAAGAACAAAUGUGUAAGUAACUAUGCACGUCUUGACGGUACCUAAUCAGAAAGCCACGGCUAACUACGUG